AGAAAGAAUCAGAGGUGUUUUUCUUGCAUGUAAGCGUGCUUUCUGACUAAGCAAGAGCAAGUACUUCUAAGGGCAAGAGAGUAGUGAUUGGUAGAGCUUAAAGGUACAGGAAGCUGAAGAUCUUUUAUAUAUAUUUUGCUUAAAAUGCAUCUUAUUUUGGG